rnacentral:rRNA from 1 species
AGUACGGCCGCAAGGUUAAAACUCAAAUGAAUUGACGGGGGCCCGCACAAGCGGUGGAGCAUGUGGUUUAAUUCGAUGCAACGCGAAGAACCUUACCUACUCUUGACAUCCACAGAAUUUGGCAGAGAUGCCUUAGUGCCUUCGGGAACUGUGAGACAGGUGCUGCAUGGCUGUCGUCAGCUCGUGUUGUGAAAUGUUGGGUUAAGUCCCGCAACGAGCGCAACCCUUAUCCUUUGUUGCCAGCGCGUGAUGGCGGGAACUCAAAGGAGACUGCCGGUGAUAAACCGGAGGAAGGUGGGGAUGACGUCAAGUCAUCAUGGCCCUUACGAGUAGGGCUACACACGUGCUACAAUGGCGCAUACAAAGAGAAGCGACCUCGCGAGAGCAAGCGGACCUCACAAAGUGCGUCGUAGUCCGGAUCGGAGUCUGCAACUCGACUCCGUGAAGUCGGAAUCGCUAGUAAUCGUGGAUCAGAAUGCCACGGUGAAUA